rnacentral:rRNA from 1 species
UACGGAGGGUGCAAGCGUUAUCCGGAUUCACUGGGUUUAAAGGGUGCGUAGGCGGACAGGUAAGUCAGUGGUGAAAUCUCCGAGCUUAACUCGGAAACUGCCGUUGAUACUAUUUGUCUUGAAUAUUGUGGAGGUAAGCGGAAUAUGUCAUGUAGCGGUGAAAUGCUUAGAUAUGACUUAGAACACCAAUUGCGAAGGCAGCUUGCUAAACAAACAUUGACGCUGAGGCACGAAAGCGUGGGGAUCAAACAGG